GGGUCCGAAACCCAGUCUGUAUCUGGUGUGACCACCAUUUACCUCACGCAGUGCAACAUAUCUCCUUAACAUAGAGUUGAUCAGGUUGUUGAUUGUGGAAUGUUGGUCCACUCCUCUUCAAUGGCUGUGCGAAGUUGCUGGAUAUUGGCAGGACCUGAAACACGCUGUCGUAUACACCAAUCCCAAACAUGCUCAAUGAGUGACUUGUCUGGUGAGUAUGCUGGCCAUGCAAGAACUAGGAUGUUUUCUGCUUUCAGGAAUUGUGUACAGAUCCUUG